ACUAAAUAUUGUUGUCUCUUGGUUUUAUUAUAAUUUUUAUAAAGUCUCUCUCUCUCGCUCUCGCUCUCGCUCUCGCUCUCUACAUAAUUCCCUAAUAAGUAUGCCAAUUCAUUUACUAACCAAAGAAUAAUUUUUCUAGAUUCUUCUUCUGUAUCCUGAAGACUUACCGAUGAUGGAGUUAUUAUUGGCAAGAAGUCGUUUAAGCUGAGGUAUCUGGCAGGUAACAGGUGGCAAAGCGAUAAAAGUAUUAUGCGAAAUGUUGAGUCUUUCCAAUGCUUGUAGUUCAGCAAGUUCUUCCGGGAGUUUACUCAUUUGAUUGUGACUUAGAUUGAGUUCUAUAAAGAAAUAUUUAUUAAUGGAAAUAUUGAUUAAAGUCUAAACACAUUUAUCAUUGAUACUAACCAGUGAUAAGGGAAAAUUUCACUGCAAAUUUCGGCGGGAUCUUUGUUAUGACAUUACCAGACAAAUCGCAUCUUUUCAAUUCUGUAUGUCUCAUCAAAUGAUAAACCGCAUCCGGUAUUUGCAUUAACUGGCAUUCAGACAAAUCUGAAAUAUAAUUAAAAAGAAAAAAUAACAUGUAAAAUAAUAUCGUGUAACCCCAUUGAAAAUAGUUAACCAAGCCGAUGUGAGAGUCGGUAUAUACGCAUAGAGAUCUCAUUGAAAAUGAAUUGACCGUCGAAUUACGACGGCUUCACGCUUUCUCCUGCUCGAUUUUCUUAACCCAAGUACGGAAGAGAGGUGUACCGCCUGGAAUGAUUACGAAAUAAACGUAUUCUAAGUGUAAAACGCAUAUAUCAGUUGGUGCUACACGAUUAUAUCUAACUGGACGGUUGCCAUAUGGCAUCGUUCGAUGCACCUGUACAAAACUUGCAAAUUUGUUAUUUUUACACGAUUCUCUUGGAAUUAUAUGUUAUGAAAAUCACAAGCCGAGCAUAAUCUCAAAUAUUAUCUUGAUUGAUUGUAAUUAAAGAAUAAUGUGAAAAAAAUGUAAUUCGUACAAUUUUCAAAAAGCGCGCCGCUCCAACGGUUGCUACGUGAAGUAAGUAACAUAUAAGUUUAUAGUUCGAUCGAAAGUACACCACGGUUAGGCUUUAGUUUUUCGAUCCCGAAUGAAAUGUAAAAGAUAGGUUAGUAGAAGAAUCAAGGAAGAAGGAGAAAAGAAAAGAAAAGAAAAGAAAAAGAACGAUAAUAAAUGUAAAAAAAGAAUAUUGAAAAGUGUAGGGAAAAGUAAUUUCUUUCUCGUACCGAGAUUUUCAUUCUCCUGAGCUUCUUCACAACGUAAUACUACCUUUGUCACAGCGUUCGCCAUUUUGUUUUAGACCGAGCAACGGACGCGAUUCAACGAAUAGUUCUCUCGUAGAAUGCAAUCGCGAGAAACAUUUAUUUUCGUUAAGAUCUCUCGGAAAUAAAUUCACCCGAUUCGUUCUAUCGUUUGGCCUUGACAACACCCAUUUAGAGGAUAUCGUCAGUAGAUCGAAAUUGCGUUUAUCGAAGUAUACGUUCCGAAGUUACAGAUGGAAGGUUAAAUUCUUGGUGCGUCGCAAGAAAAAGAAUGAUGCGUGGCGGAUAAAGAGGGGGAAAAGGGGGAGGAAGAGAGGAAGUGUAGAUCUUAGUUCGUCGUUUGCUACCAAUGAUGAUCAGGGCAUUGAUCAGGGUUCCUGAUCUAUUCAGAUUUACAGAUAAGAUAGAAACGAGUCACUCUGUAUACGAGGAUGCAGUCGGUAAACGUUAUUUAAAUGCAAAAGCGAAGUGGCGAGUUACUUGGAACGAAAUUGAGGUAGUAUUUGAGGUUAACUAGCUUUACGGUGGAGAAAUGGACGGUCAGCAUCUUUAACGAGAUCACUCGGCUCUUCUCAAAGCGUUUGGGAAACGAAGUCACGCGAAUUCAACAUGGACGACGAUGGACGACGCAGUGGAAGCUCGUUGGUUGAUUCGACUCGACUUCCUGACAACUCAUGCAUCCGGCAUAGCAGCAUGUGUUGAAAGUCAUAUAACGGUACGACAAAUGUCGUGAAUCGAAUCCAAAUACGUUAUAUACAAGGGGAAAAGGAAGUUACGUGUAUAUCGAGCGAUGAACGUAACGAACCGAGUAAGCCAGGCUACAAGACCAUACGGAAAAAGGUUUUCUACCCUCGAAAAGUUUCAUUUAUCACGAGAAGGAGAAGACGAAGGCGAAGGCGAAGGCGAAGGCAAAGGCGAGGCGAAGGCGAAGGCGAGGCGAAGGCGAAGGCGAAGACGAAGACGAAGACGAAGAGGAGGACGAGAAGCAUAAGAAGCAGAAGAUAUCCUCUUUCUCCUCGAGCAGUAAGAACUCGAGCAGUACCGUUCAUAUUAGUCCGAGGGAAAAAAAUUCAAUCUAAAUGGGAACGAUUGGCACACGUACGAUAAACAGAGCGUGAUUGACGUACGUGAUUCCAGUUCCUUCUAUAUCCCUCUGGCCAUUUCUGGGGACCACCAAUACAUUGAAACGGCGAGAGAAAAACGGAAUUGCGCAAGAAAGUACGAUGCAUGAAAAAAUAAUAUAUAUGUGCACACGCACACACAGAAUAUGUAGAUAUUCCUUGGAAAAAGCAUAGAUCAUAGGUUACAUAGAUUACAUAAAGCGUAUCAUUUCUUUUUCCUAUACAUUUCUUUUCCCAUUUAUCUGAUACGUUUCCCUUUCCACAUAUAAAAAGAAUGAAAAGGUAAAACGUAUAUAAAAGUUUCUCGUGUGGACAGAAUAGUCAACGUGCAAUUAGAUUCAAGGCAUUUACUCUAUUAAUAAAGAAAUUAGUCACGUGUUACGACUGCAUUUGAAACGACGCGUUUUCCAAUAUUCAAAAGCUUCCGCUAGUGCGUGCCCCUUGGCAUGAUCGAAUAAAUAUAUAUAUAUAUAUACACAUAUAUAUAUAUCGAAGUAAGUACACGGAUGGAGAGAGGGAGAGAAAGAGAAAGGUUUCAAGCCCUCUCUCAACCUUAGUGACUAUCAUAUCGGGGAAAAAUAAACGGAGCGUGGACGAAGAAACGAUUAUGUGGAUAUAACUCUUUACUAAACGCUUCUACGAUGCUUCGGAUUCGCGAGAAGACCGAGAAGAGAAAUAGACGAAAAGCGCUGCCAACAAAACAAUAACUAAACACAAUACCGUCUUCUCAUUCACGUUCAGUCAUAUCUUCCGAUGCAAGCUACAUGAUGUAUGCUAUGUGUAUUUUUAUAAAAAUCGAGGAGAGAACCUUUUCAUUUUACUCUCCAUUUAAGAUGUCAUUCGUUUGCAAAAUACAUCGGUAUCGUGUGUGUGUGUAUAUAUAUAUAUAUAUCAUAGAUUAUAUACCAUCGCCAUUAGAAAAGCAUAGGAAAAAGUUAAUAUAUCUAUCUAUAUAAGAAAAUAAAGGUCGAACGAAUCGAAAUAUAUAUUAUAGAUGGAGACGUUCGUUAUUAGAUCGAAACGGCCACUCCUUUAAACUUGAAUUUAAUCUUCUCCACUUGUUCGCGAAUCGUUAAGUCUUACGACACUUAAAUUAACUUCCAGUCGAUACACACAUAUCGUUGUCGUUCUCUUCUAUAGUUUCGAAAGGUCACUUUCCUUUGUUAGCAAUUAUUCCAUGUUAACGUUCUAUAGACCGUUCUCGAAAUUGUUCGUCGAUAUAUCCUCGUUUUUAAAUCAUACACAUUUUUUCCUUCAUUACGUGCAAAUAGAAUAUAACCUACAUUUGAAUAUCUUUGUUCGAAACGUACAUAUAUCUAAAUGUCAAAGGAUAACCUUUCGAUCUUAUUGUUUAUACUACGUUCAAGUAUUCAAGCGAGAGAAACGACGUAUCGAUCUAUUUCCGUUCGCAAGACUAAUGGUAUAUCUAUAUAUAGCUAUAGAUAAACACACACACAUUUAUAAGGCCAUUUUUUUCGUUCGCUGGGCCAAGACAGAGAUAAGAAAAUUAUCGAUAUAAAGUAAGAGCCGAGGGAAGAAAAGAUUUAAUAAGAUAUAUGAAUCAUCGAGUUUUGGGUAAAAAAGAUUUAACGAAGAAAUCCAAGAUCUUAAUAAUUCGCGACCAUUCGAGUUUAUAAUAAAAUAUGAGGGAAGAUGAGAUGAUCUCGACUAAUUAUAGAAUUGUGAUUCAUGAGCGACUAGAGCGAUAACGAGCAGACACUACUACGAAGAGCUUGGAUACCCUUGAGAACAAUGGUGAAUUGGGAAAACAAUUAAGAAGAAAACGCUGCGAGAUUCUACGACGUAGUAUCCUUCCUUACAGAUGCACAAAAGGUUAUUUAUAAAGAUCCGGUCACAUGUAUAUUAAUAUAAGCGGUUCAACGGUCUCAAGUUUAUUCCAGUGGAUCUCAAUUUAGAACAAAGUACACCGACAAAGACAUUUGAUUUCAUUUUUUUCGUUUUUCUUUCUUUUUUCUUUUUUUUUUUUUUCCAAAUUCAAUUAACAGAGCAGAGUGUGAGAAUUAGUCACGAAAGUGACAUUAAUACACUCGGUCGGUAACACAGAGACCGUACGAAAGCCAUAAUCCAUGAAAGUUAAUAAGACGAAUAAGCGGAUGCUCGAGUUAAAUCGAUCGUCAUUUCACCUUUGUGUUUGAGAAUAUUUCACUUUAAAGAAUAUCACCGAUUUAAUGUAAUAAUUAUCGCUCAAACUUUUUUAUAUUUUAAGUUAUAUAAUAUCAAUUAUAUAUUUAUUGUAUAUUUAUAGUUUGCAUAUCGUUAUACUCUAUUAACAGCAAUCUUGAUACAGUUGAAAUGACAAAAAUGUACGUGCAUUGAUAAUGUCGUCGCAUGUCGAAUUCGUUCUGAAAAUUUCUUUUUUUUUCGUUUCGAAUUUGUCAUAUGCAUACGUGUUUUUUUCUUUUUUUAAAAAAAAAAGAAGAAAAAAAAAAAAGGAAACGAAAAGAAGAAGUAUGUUACCA